UCUCGUUCACAGAUUUUGCCAACAUUGAUCAACAGCCCACAGAUUACCAACGUUUUUCUACUUGUAAAACGCAGUUUCAGGCGGAAGAUAGGUCCUCGACUCUAGCAGAGUUCACGCCCCACAUUUAGUCCUACCCUCACAACAAAGGUUGCCCAUUUGGAGGGUAGUUUGUUCCUGGUCCUGGGGGCAGCUGCUGUGGCAGAGGACCAGUUGGGCGUGAGAACGAAGGAGGCUGUGCAACCGAAGGACCAUAGUUUGGUAAUCCACUGAAAAUAUCACCAAUUCCAUUAUAAGUGCUUCUUAUCCUGUGUUUCUCCAUUUCUUCCACACGGCAGCUCAAUAAAAUAUAUUUUGUAUCUCACAGCAUCAUGGCAUAAUGCGCGGGCAUUAGCUAUAUUCUUCUUUUGCAUUUUGUUGUCUUUCAUUCUUUAAUUUUUCAUAACAUGUCCAUAAAAAAUUUAUUCAUAAAACCUGAUGGAAGACACAAUUUGGGAAACCUAAGUGUAACUGGGAGGAUAUAAUGAAAAAGAAUGUAGGAGUGUGGACUCUGGCUGAGGAUAAAAUCCAGAGGCAGGCUCUUCUCAUCAUAAUAAAAACCAUUAGGUUUCAUAAAAGGUGGACUAUGUUCCAUAGACUCAGCCAAUUACAGUUAACACAUAUACAAAGAAACGUGAUGGUUUAAGAAUGAGUAAUAUAUGUCAAAAGAUGCACACAAUACAUGAUGAUUCAAAAUAGCUCUUCUGAAAAGGCACAGUAUGUAAUGAGUAUAAUGAAACAUAAUACUGAGGCAGAAACAAUUUAACAAAGAAACAGUGACACUGGCUGAUAAGAUGGCAAAAGAGGAUUGAACUGUAAGUACCACAUUUUAUGAACUGUUGUUAUCUGUGCAUAGGUAGAGAAUCACAAUUUAAGAGCCUGUAUGUUUUGCUAUCUACUUUCCACAGGUAAGCACAUUCAUUCAUGCAACACUGGAAAAGCAAUGACAUGCUGUAUUUCAUUCAGCCAGGAUAGCUCAGUCAGCAAACUGACUGGCUACAGGAUGGAUGACUGGACUUCGAUUCCCACCAGGAGCAAGAAUUUUUCUCUUCAUCGCUAUGCCAGCCCACCCAGUAUCACUGAAAGGGUAACACCAGCAAAGAAGCUAGAUCAUGAAGCUGACCACUCACCUCCACCUAGUAGCAAAGUUAAGAAUGUGUGGAGCCUUACUUCAACUCCCCAACGUCUUCAUGCCUGGUGCUUCAGUACGCAAACAACCAUGCAUUUACUUCUAUUUUCUGUUCACUGCUUACCUGGCGGCAUAUGGAAUCGGCGUUCCUGUAGGAGGCUGAGGUUGUUGCAGCCUCUGUUGGUCGUCUAGCCGAUGACUGGCUCCAGGAGGCAGGACUCCUGGAGGCAGUGGGCCAAUUUGAUGAAAAUGUGGUGGCAGUGUCAUGGAACUGGGACCAGAGGGUCCACCCAUUACCAAGUGAUCAUGGCCAGGAGGCAUUGAAUAAUGGUGAGACACUCCAAAUGAAGAACCUGCUGGAACUCCAUUGAAUACCUAGACACAGAAACAGCACAUGAAUAUGAAUUUGCUACAUCUGCUUUACUUACAAGGACAAGAAAGUUUCAUGAUUGAUGUGUCAACUUUAUGAUAUAGAACAUAAUUACAAAGUACAAUUACAUGUAGAAAGAAAGAGUUGAACAUGUAGAGCAUAGAAGAAAAUAUAACUGCUAAUGAGACCUAGGUCUUAAAGUAUAACCCAGAUAUAGCAUACUAAAGCAAAUAUUUCACUAGUCUGAAAAAAAAAGUGUGCAUCACAUCAAAGCAAAAGUAAAUAUCAAAUUUCUUCCAUCACAGGAACACCCUCCAUAUUUUGUCUCAUGGAACUUUUUCAUGUUCUGAAACCUGACAAUUUAAUUGAAUAGAUCUAAUCUAGAAUCUGAUAAAGACAUUCACAUAAAUGUGAUGAAUGUACUUAAAGGACUUUCCAAAAAUAAAAUUCCAGAGUGUUCAUGAAUAUGUACACAGAUAAUGCUCUGAAAUUGAUCACAACCAGUAAUGGUUUGGUGAAAUAAAAUCUUUUAAACGAUUAA